rnacentral:lncRNA from 1 species
GAGAUAGACACGCGUGGCCAGAUCGCUGGUCUUGUUAACAAGCCUCGUCAUAAAGAUGGAGAAGAUAAG